AAUAGUGUUAUUAUUCUAUUCGAGAAUUAUACGGAAUUCUAGCAGUGAGAAACUUGUCCUCGUGACAAUAAACAAUUAAAAUACAUACAUUUCGAAUUGGACGACUCUGUUAAAUUAAAGGAAGCAUCAUGCAAUCAUAAGUAUUUCUUGUUGUUUAAUGGUUUAUUUGUGUUUGUGGGUAGGUGUGAUGAUUCGAAGAUGAAACACGAAAAUUAUGAGGUAAUCACAAAAAUGUACAUUCCUAUGCGGUUUAGUUUUUGUAUUAUUUGUGUGUAUAUAAAACAAACGAAAGAUAAAGAUCGAAGCAGACCAGACCAGACCCAACUAGAUUUUAGCCCCAAAGAAUACAUAACCACAUGCGUAGGUAUUUUCUGUACUCGAUUCCAUAGUUCAUCUCAUCUCGAAUUAUUUAUUAUUGAUUAAUAAAUGAUUAUCAGAUACAACGAGUCCAAUAUUAUUGCGAGACGCUUUCAUCUCUUCCUCAACCCAAAUGUUUGUGCGAAACGAAAGUGCAAGUCGUCGCUGUUUGUUGAAAACGAUUCUUUUUAGAAUUUUGCUGCAAUUGCAGUUUGGCGAACUUGAAGCUAUUGUUUGUGUGUGUCAUUGCGUAUGUGUACGUAGCGCAGGCCAUAAUAUGAGUCUAGGACUUAUUGGUACAUAAGUAAGAACAGGUUUCAUGUCAUCUUUUACGUGUUGUGAAAUGGUACGUGGCUAAUGGGCAAUAAAUUUUGAUUUUAGUUCGAGUCACGCUAUCAGGUUUACUACUAGUUUAAUAAUUUAAUUUUGCACUUGACAGACGAGUGACGCGAAGCUGACGCCCACGCGGUCGCGUAAAGCACCUGCCAGUUUGCAUAGUUGGAAAAAUUUGGUGCUGCGAUUGAGAAUAAUUGUUUGACCAGUGUGGGCAGUGCCAUGCUAUACGCAGCUGAAUUCUGGAAAUCCAGUGUCAAACAUUACAACCACAGUAUCGCCACCGGUUAUCAUAACUAUAGCCACUGAAAAACCUGUCUUGAUCAAUCCCGAUUAUGAAAAAAAACUGCAAGAAUACAAAACCAAAAUUGAUUCACUCCAAUCCAGUCUUGCUCGUCUGAAUGCAACAUUACUUUCCCGAAUUGUGGGUUUGGAAACUGGUCACUACAAUGUGCUGGCUGAGCGUGUGACCGUAGUGGAAAAAGGGGCAACCGAUGUGAAACACCAAAUUGAAACAAUUGAAGGCUCGAUCGACACAAAGGUUUCCGAACUUGGACAGCAUGUGCAAGGUGAGCUCGACGCAAUGGGCGACAAAAUGAAUGCCACACGAUCUCUGGUACAUUCGCUCGAAGCUGGAAAAGUGCAACGCCUUGUGAUUCAAAAUGAAAUUUGGAGAAAGAAUUUCAAAAACCUUAAUGGAACGAUAAAUCGUUUGGGAAAAGCAAGGGGUUGAAAUAUUUAAAUUAAAUUAAAAUUCAUUCAUUAAGUGUUCAGACCAGUUUGCAAAUUGCAUGCCAAAAUCCAGGUUUUAAGUCCGUAUUACAUAAAUACAUAUGUGAUGCAAAUAGUCGUGAGCAAUAAAAUACAAGCCCAAUUAUUUCAUUA